CCUACGGGAGGCAGCAGUAGGGAAUUUUUCACAAUGGGCGAAAGCCUGAUGGAGCAAUGCCGCGUGAAUGAUGGAGGUCUUAUAGAUUGUAAAAUUCUGUUAUGUGGGAAGAAAAACUAAAGUAGGAAAUGACUUUAGUCUGACUGUACCAUUUGAAGAAGUAUCGGCUAACUAUGUGCCAGCAGCCGCGGUAAUACAUAGGAUGCAAGCGUUAUCCGGAUUUACUGUGCGUAAAACGAGCGCAGUCGGGUUAACAAGUUUGGUAUGAAAGGCUUUUGCUUAACGACAGUCUGUAUAAAAAACUGUUAAUCUAGAGUGUAGUAGGGAGUUCUGGAAUUCCAUGUGGAGCAGUGGAAUGCGUAGAUAUAUGGAAGAACACUCGUGGCGAAGGCGAGAACUUAGACAAUAACUGACGCUUAGGCACGAAGGUCAGGGGAGCGAAAGGGAUUAGAUACCCGGGUAGUC
rnacentral:rRNA from 1 species